UAUGUGUGAAUGGGGAGGGAUACAGUCUGGGGAAAUAACAGUUUGGAUAAUUAAGACUAAUGCGCUCUCAGCGACGCCUCUCUUUCCUGCUCAGGGAGGACGAUAGCACGACAUGUUCUUAGAGGAUGACUUUCAACAUCACCUUCCGUGGAGGAAGCCUCACAGCACUUUAGAUGGGAAACAGAUUGACUUUAACUGAAGCAAGACAACAGAAUUCAGGCCCAGGUGGAUGAGAGGAAGGUGUGAAAGCUGGGACAGAGCAGAGGAGGAUCCAAGAAGAGACGAGUAGGAGGAAGAGACCUUGGACCUUACUUAGUAAAGGACAGAAGGUCUGGCUGGCUGGAGCCCUUUACCCACCAGCUGUUAGAGUGAAGAGAGAGAUGGUGUCAAUGAUGAAACCCCACCUUUCAGAACGCUAUAGAGGAUGUAAAUGUACUCUUUGAGGUGAGACAUUUUUCCUUGGAUAUCUGUCUCCUGA
rnacentral:lncRNA from 13 species